rnacentral:lncRNA from 1 species
GAGCGAAGGCACAACCGCAUCAAGUCACGGUUGUGCCUCAGCAGCUGCAUCAACUUCUUUGGACAGCCGUGUCUUCGAUGGCGGCGGGGCCCUGCACGGCCUGAAGGGCUCCGGAGAUUCCGCUGCAAGGCAAAGCGCAGGGAUCCCCAUGGAAGAGGCAGAGGGGCAGAGCGGGGCCGGCACCCACAAAGUGGGGCUGCCUUUGGCCUCGGAGACAGAGACUCGGGCUCAGUUGGGCUGGGCUGCCCCGGGGAAGAGGCUGCAGCAUGCAGAGCUCUGGCCGCCUCUGCUUGGUGCUGUCCAUGGGGCUCAGCCCCUGGGCCGGAUUCCCCAGCCAGGAGCUCAGGCCCCUUCUGCCGCAGGGCAUUGGCCAAAGGGUGCCCAAGAGGCCCUCAAGGUCUGCCCCAUCCCGCCUCCCUGACCCCCCCAGCCCCGCCUCACCUCUCCCCAGCAUCUCUGAAAUCUUCUCUCAAGGGCCCAUCCCAUGGCCAUGCCUAUGAUGAGCACGCCGACCAGCAGGACUGCCCAGGACACCCACAGGAUCUGCUCAGGGUCCGUCUCCUCCGGGUAGAAAUCCUCCGGAAGCAUAGAAGAGGCAUCCGUGCUCUGCUCGAGUUUGCUGGAAUGGUCGAGGGGAUGGGCCAAGAGCAGCAGCACGUAAAGCUGCAGCAGCGAGGAAGAGCCGUGAGCAGCCAUAGAGCUCUGCCGGCAGCACAGAGGCUCUGGGCGUCUCUCUGCAAGCAGGUCUGCCUGGGCUCUGGGGCGCAGCAACAGCUGGCGACAGUUGCCAGGCACCGUGCCGUCGCCAGAGGCUGUGAUGUCACAGAAGCACAGAACGCCCUGGCCUCAGAGAGCCCUGAGAGAAUGUUGAGUCCAACCUGUGAGCCAUGGCGGCAAGCAUGGCCAGCAGAGCGGGGCCCGAGCGCUGCGGCCUGGCUUGCCUUGCCCACCUGCCACAAGGAUGACUCCAGCAGCCCCCUGUCAGGCCAUUGCAGGAUCUAA